rnacentral:tRNA from 1 species
CGCGGGGUGGAGCAGUUGGCAGCUCGUCGGGCUCAUAACCCGAAGGUCGUGGGUUCAAAUCCCUCCCCCGCAA